AUGCUCGACCUUUCUCGCCUGAAUCACGGUGCCAUUAGCCUUAUCCCUAAGGUGAAAGAGGCAGAUAACAUUAAGCUUUUUAGACCCAUUACCCUGAUUAAUGUGCCUUUCAAAAUCUGUGCGAAAGCUUAUGCAUCGUGAUUGGCCCCGGUCGUUCAACGGGUCAUUAGUUCUAGUCAGAUAUGUUUUCUUAAACGUCGAAACAUUCUUGAGGGCCCAAUUGCGCUUCAAGAAAUCGUUCACGAGUUAAAACACACUAGGGCCCAGGGCGUGCUCCUUAAAUUAGAUUUCGAGAAAGCAUAUGAUCGUACGAACUGGGAGUUUGUGCGAGAAGUCUUCCUCAAAAGGGUUUUGAGGCAGGCUUUGUGCACCGCAUCAUGCACCUCGUGUGUAGUGGGCACACGGCGGUCACUAUCAAUGGCACAAUGGGCAAGUUCUUCCGUAACAAACGGAGCCUCCGGCAGGGAGACCCAAGCUCGCCUCUCAUUUUUAACUUUGUUGCGGAUGCCUUGUCAGGCAUGA
rnacentral:rRNA from 1 species